AUGUGGAGACUGGGGAGCAGCAGAGUCAACUCAGUUAUCAUCUUGGCGGCCGGGCUGCCGUCCAGCUCACAGAAGCCACCUGAUCCGGAAAAGAUUUCCAACGCCUGCUGGAUGUCUUCCCACUCACAGAACCAGGCAACAAAGAAGUCUGUGGCGUCCACAGGAGGGAAACAAAGCAAAACGAAGCGCCGACCAGUGCGCCUCUCAGUUACUCCAGCACGGUAGUUAGAGAUGAAUACAAUGUUGCCCUUAAGCUACAACCUAAUCUUCACAGAAACCCUUUGAAGAAGGUAAGUUUAGUUUUACUUUAAGACUGG
rnacentral:lncRNA from 1 species